rnacentral:rRNA from 1 species
UAGGGAAUCUUCGGCAAUGGACGAAAGUCUGACCGAGCAACGCCGCGUGAGUGAAGAAGGUUUUCGGAUCGUAAAACUCUGUUGUUAGAGAAGAACAAGGACGUUAGUAACUGAACGUCCCCUGACGGUAUCUAACCAGAAAGCCACGGCUAACUACGUGCCAGCAGCCGCGGUAAUACGUAGGUGGCAAGCGUUGUCCGGAUUUAUUGGGCGUAAAGCGAGCGCAGGCGGUUUCUUAAGUCUGAUGUGAAAGCCCCCGGCUCAACCGGGGAGGGUCAUCGGAAACUGGGAGACUUGAGUGCAGAAGAGGAGAGUGGAAUUCCAUGUGUAGCGGUGAAAUGCGUAGAUAUAUGGAGGAACACCAGUGGCGAAGGCGGCCCCCUGGACAAAGACUGACGCUCAGGUGCGAAAGCGUGGGGAGCAAACAGG